UGGUCUCGAACUCCUGACCUCAGGUGAUCCA
rnacentral:piRNA from 2 species